rnacentral:lncRNA from 1 species
AAGAGAUCAAAAAGAAAACGGACGAGAACCCAUGGGCUGUUAGACUGAGACAACAGCUCCGGGCUCAGGCACGCCGGCUGCGCUCUGCGCUGAGGGUGGGCACAUGGGAACUCCUUGAACGGCCCCAGCGAGGGCUAGUGUUAUCUCCAUUCUACAGCUGAGGAAACUGAGGCCAAGGGAGAUCAACACUCGAUUCCUACAGGAAUAGGAAGAAUGCUACAAUCCCAGCAACGAAGGAACAACCUCAGCUACACCGACUCUUUUCCAUGCUCAUUCUGACUUCUUUUUUACCCAAAUGGGUUCAUAGGACUCAGACUAUUUUCAAGCUGCUUUUUUUCACUCAACAGCAAAUGGCACUCAUCGUCCCAUGUAAGCAAACAGCUCUGCGGUUCUCUUUGGGGCCUGACAAGCAUGCUGCUGUGCUCUCCUGCUGCGGCGGAUUUAACCACUCCCUAUUGGGAUCCAGAUUGUUGCCAACUUUUAGUUAUUACAAGCUGCACUGCAGGGAAAUUCCAUGAAGCUAGGUCUUGGCACACGUCCUUUAUUCUGUCCUUAGGGCAUUUUCCGAGAAGUGGAAUUCCUAGGUCAGAGGGUGUGUACUUUUUUUUUUUGGCUGCACAUUUUUAAACUGUUUGAGAUGUAUUUGUGUGUGUGCGUUUCUGCAGGGUAUCUGUGGACCUGUGCCCAUAGGUUCACGCAGCCACCCAAGCAAAUCGUUG